AAUUCAUAAAUUCCCCAAAUGGGCGCUUGAACCCUAAAUUCCCCAUCGACGCUCGCUCACUCGAUUGAAGACCUCACGCUCGAAUUCAGGCCUCACUCUUGAAUCGGCUGCAGUCCAUGGCGUCAUCCGCGAGCUUCUCGGCUAGCUCCUCCACAUGACGCAGGUCCUAUUCUAGUGGUAUGGUUGCGGUGACACUGUCGCCGGUGCCAUAUCAUGAGGGUCCGUUGCAGUACAAGUUAGUGUUGUGCGGAUGCGGAGUGAAAGCCCGUCGGCAGAUUACCUGAAGCCUGUUGAAUCCAGGGAGGAGGUACCAGGAUAUCAAAGGGUCUGGACUGUUGGUGAAUCGUGGCAUUACGUUGCUGAAUCGUCUGAAAAAAGAGAAUAUGUAAUUGAAGAAUCUCGCUCUAGGCUGAAGCUUGCAUGGCGAAGGUAGUUGACUAGAGAUGGGCAUGAGGUUGUUUGUGAAUGAGAUGCAAUUCAAGCACGCAGCACGGCAGCGGUAGUAGAAUUAGGUCCUUAAGUAGUAGAAGACUUGCAGAUAAAAUUAGCAAGAUUUAGACGUGAGUAGUGCCUGUUGUAAUUCACAUGAGUAGUGCUUCAUGCUGAGAAUUUAUAAGAAAAUGUCUGUAGGAUGUUCAGAAGAUUGAAUUUUUCAGAAAAAAAAUUCCUCAGCGUAAGCACACAAUUCUGCAUAACUGAGCAUAAACACCUCUGCCUCUAGUUCUCCUGAGUAGUCAACCUGUCCAUUUUUCCUCUCAAAUGAGCCGGCUUAAUGAUAUCUGGUCAACAAGUAA